rnacentral:rRNA from 1 species
AUACGGAGGGGGCUAGCGUUGUUCGGAAUUACUGGGCGUAAAGGGCGCGUAGGCGGACCAGACAGUCUCUCGUGAAAUCCCACGGCUCAACCGUGGAACUGCGGGAGAUACUACUGGCCUUGAGUUCGGGAGAGGAGUGUGGAAUUCCCAGUGUAGCGGUGAAAUGCGUAGAUAUUGGGAGGAACACCGGUGGCGAAGGCGGCACUCUGGACCGAUACUGACGCUGAGGCGCGAAAGCUAGGGGAGCAAACGGGAUUAGAAACCCCAGUAGUCC